GCAGUUGUUCUUCUAUUCUUUCAUCACGCACUGAUGUACCAAACUAAGUGUAUUAUUGAAACUCCUAUAUUGUUAUUAGUCCUAUUUAAUUAUAAGUUUUCAUUGUUUCCCAUUGCCAUUGUUCGUUUCACUGGCGUGUGUUUUGUAGUUGUGUGCACUCUCAACGCAAACUGGGAGUGUUUAGCCACAUCAUUUUAGUAUACUCACAAUAAGGCCAAAAUCAUGGUCUAUAGGUAAGAAGUCAAAGGUAUCUCAUUCUCAACCUGGUGUCUCGCACAGUUGCAAGAGCGAUGAUGAUUUUGUUUGGCCACCUUUGACGUUCCUUGCGAGACUGCAAUAAGUCCCGGUGUGAAAUGCUCCAAUUUUUUUGCUCACGGUUGACAACUUGCAAAUGCCCAUGUUUAUAUUGUUUUUCCUUCUUUUUUUUUUUUUUUUUAAGGAUGUUUUAUAAUUGAUAGUACCACCGCUCAAAUACUUAUCAGGUCUUCACAACUAUUGAUUGUUAGAUCCUAAAUAUGAAAUAUUUUUGUCAUUGUUUGUUCU